rnacentral:rRNA from 1 species
AUUGAACGCUGGCGGCAUGCUUUACACAUGCAAGUCGAACGGUAACAGGGUGCUUGCGCCGCUGACGAGUGGCGAACGGGUGAGUAAUGCGUCGGAACGUGCCGAGUAGUGGGGGAUAACGCAGCGAAAGUUGUGCUAAUACCGCAUACGUACUGAGGUAGAAAGUGGGGGACCUUCGGGCCUCACGCUAUUCGAGCGGCCGAUGUCUGAUUAGCUAGUAGGUGGGGUAAAGGCUCACCUAGGCGACGAUCAGUAGCGGGUCUGUGAGGAUGAUCCGCCAAACUGGGACUGAGACACGGCCCAGACUCCUCCGGGAGGCAGCAGUGGGGAAUUUUGGACAAUGGGCGAAAGCCUGAUCCAGCCAUGCCGCGUGUCUGAAGAAGGCCUUCGGGUUGUAAAGGACUUUUGUCAGGGAGGAAAUCCCUAGCGUUAAUACCGCUGGGGGAUGACAGUACCUGAAGAAUAAGCACCGGCUAACUACGUGCCAGCAGCCGCCGUAAAAC